UAGGGGCGAAGGCCCACAAAGGAAACUGCGUUUCACCUGCCACUGGGGGGCAGACAGAAUUCGUGGUAGGCGCGUUUCCCAAAAGCCCAGCGGUGACACCCACAUUUGAGGUCUUUGUUCUGAGCUUUUAGGAAGACGCGUGAAGCUCCCGUACUUAUGCAUCCUGUGGUGUAUACAGAGAUAGUAGCACAGAGAGAAAAUUGUGUACAGUCACAGGAUUCUCUGCUGAUGGAUGUUCCCUGCUGAGAAGCAUUUGGGUUAUUUCCUGCAUUGAGGCUGUAUUAGUCAGCUUUCCCACUGCUGAGACAUAAAGCCCUACACACACCCUGAAGAAUGAGAGGUUUCAUUCACGAGUUGGAGGAAUUCAGUCCAUGGCCGGCAGGCUCCAGUGCAGGAAGAUGGGAGCAGAAGAGCACGGUGGUGUUCAUGGUAGCCAGCAAGCAGAGAUGGGGAACAUAAAGAGAGGAACCACACGUGGCAUCCAAGGAGACCCCUCCGUGCACUAAAGACUCAUCCUGAACUCUGUUAAUCUGCAAAGCAUUUCAUAACCCACUGAAAUUCAGGUAUCGACAUGGAUGGUCACAUAGACUAAAGGUAAUCUUGAAAAUGAAAGCAAACUAAAACUAUUCGUACUUGGUAAUGUGACUAACAGAGGAUGUGGAGCCCGACUUACCGAGCGUGGGAAUGAACACUGUAGAGUCAGAUCCCAGGACAUAAACAAGAGCCAGGUAGCUCCUCUGUGAUGCCAUCUAUUGGGAGGCUGACUCUGGGGACCAUGGGAGGCCAGGCUGCUCAACAUUGCAACACCCCUUCGCAACACAGAAACAACUUUGCAGGUGGUGGUGCAGGCCCGUGAUCCUAGCAUUCUGAGGCACGAGGCUGGAGAAGGUGAGUGUGGCCUGGCCAAAUUACAGGACCUUAUGUCCAAAUAAGAAACGGAAAAGGGGUUGGGGUGCAGCACAGUGUAAGUAUCCUCAUUUCACACACACACACACACACACACACACACA